rnacentral:lncRNA from 1 species
GGGGACUGGCAGAUUAUUGCAAAAAGGGCACGGGGCAGAGGGACUAUGUUGUGAGCCUGCGAAAGAAGUUUGUGUGGGGACUGUGGGCAGUGAAUGCGUUGGGAACAAUAUGGAAAACUGGGAGCUGCCUUGGAAUCUACAGGGCCGGACUUCAAUCCAACAGGACCCACUCGAGCCAUCCACACUUUCCCCAGCCUCCUCCAAAACAGCACACUUUCCGGCUGAAGAAAAGAAGAAUGGUAUUCAUGCAGUUCCCAUUUUACAGAUGAAAACAAGAGGACUUUUUCUGUGAAGUCAAGAAAGUGGUUACAAUGGUACUUUCAGCCUGUCCGAAUUAUGUAUUGCCCCUCCCCUUUUUAUUAAUAACAUUGAAGUGUGAUGGGACAACCACUGAAGCCGUCUGUUGAAACCUGCUGGGACUUUUUAGCCAUUCUCUUCAACAUAAAGAAUGGGUGUUUUUGGAGGGGGUGAGAGGAAUGGGGAAAUGUUGUCAAAGAGUACAAUGUUUUAGUUGAGACAGGAGGAAUAUAUUUUGUUGAGAUCUACAGCACAGCAUGGUGACUGUAGUUAACAAUGAAGUAUUGUGUAUUUCAAAAUUGCUAAGACAAUAAAUUUCAAAUGUUCUCACCACAAAAAAGAUAGGUUUUGAGGUGAUGAAUCUAUUAAUUCUCUGGAUUUAAUUAUUCCACAAUGUAUACAUAUAUCAUAACAUCACAUCAUACCUCCGUAAAUACAUACAAUUUUAAUUUGUCAA